CUGCCUCUCCGGGUACAUCCGAUAAAAUUCGAACGAUGCAGAGAAGAUUAGCAUGGCCUGUGCGCAUUAACAACGUACUAAUAUAAAAAAUUAAGCCACAGAAU
rnacentral:snRNA from 1 species